UUAGUAAAUUGCCUUAUCGCUGUCCUGAUUUGUCGGGAUGGAGGAAAGUCCGAACACCAUAGUGCAAUCAUAGUGGUUAACAGCCAUCCACCGCGAGGUGAGGAAAAGUGCAACAGAAAGAAUGUACAGGUUAUGCUGUAGUGAAAUCAGGUAAACUCUCUGAGGUGCAAUGCCAUGUAAACUAGUGCUUGAGCGUACACGCGCGAUGCUAGAGGGUAGGCAGCUAAAGUUUGCUGGCAACAGUAAACGCAGAUAAAUGAUAAGGGCUUUUCUUUUUUAAAAUUUAGUUUUUUGAAAAGAAAACGCACAGAAUUCGGCUUAUAGAUUUACUUUAACA
rnacentral:RNase_P_RNA from 2 species